rnacentral:lncRNA from 1 species
GGAACUGGCAAAGGAGGUUCUCAGUCAAUAAAAGAAAAAACAGACCAAAGUUCUUUUAGGUUGGAAAAAAAGCACACGGUGGUGGAGUUGGGAGUGUGGAGGGAAAUUGGGAAAUUAGAUUUGUUAUUGACUUGAAUUAAGGUAGAUGUUUAGUGUUGGAUAAAUUUUUCCUUCUGAAGGAUCUGGAAAGACAAGGCAGAAAUGUGUGCUUCUCGGUGCUUAUUAGGAGGGGGAUGGCUUAAAUGGGUUUAGUGAGAUGACAAAGGCAAGAACUUAAAGGGGGAAUCUUUUUCCUCUGAAGUUUGAUUUCCUUCUAAACAGCCGUCUGUCAUCCCUUCUAGUUCGAGAGGAGAUUGCCGAUUGCCCCCUAUCUUUUCCUCAUCCUUUUUGAGGACUGAGCUCAGCUAAGUUAAGAAGGUUGUGAUUUUUUUUAAGACCCAGACUGUUUCAAACAAAACCAAAAACCUAAAUAGAGCACUACCAUCCUCUGCUGCUGCAUAUCUGUAGAAAGCAACUUAUUUUUUGGAUUUUUUUUUUUUUAAGAAAAGAAACAAAAAGACCCUAGCAAGCAAAAAAAACAUUUUAAAAAAUGAGUUUUUUCCCUCCUAUUUAAGUCAUUCUUUCUCCUUGCUCUCUACUUUUGGAGAAUGAACUUAACAUCCC